rnacentral:rRNA from 1 species
CACGUAGGGGACGAGCGUUGUCCGGAUUCAUUGGGCGUAAAGCGCGCGUAGGCGGCUCGGAAAGUCGGUCGUGAAAUGCCGGGGCUCAACCCCGGGACUGCGUCCGAUACUCUCGAGCUGGAGGCAGGUAGGGGAGAUCGGAAUUCCUGGUGUAGCGGUGAAAUGCGUAGAUAUCGGGAGGAACACCAGUGGCGAAGGCGGCUUCCUGGCCUGUUCUUGACGCUGAGGCGCGAAAGCUAGGGGAGCAAACGGG